UAGGGAAUAUUAGAAAUGGACGCAAGUCUGAUCUAGCAACACCGCGUGUGCGAAGAAGGCCUUCGGGUCGUAAAGCACUUUUUGGAAGGAAUAGGAAGGAAUGUACUUCCAGAAUAAGUCUCGGCUAGCUACGUGCCAGCAGCCGCGGUAACACGUAGGAGGCAAACGUUAUCCGGAUUUACUGGGCGUAAAGCGCGUGUAGGUGGUACUGUAAGUAGGGCGUGAAAGCUCCUGGCUCAACUGGGAGAGGCCGUUCUAAACUACAGAACUAGAGGAUGGUAGAGGGAGGUGGAAUUCCAGGUGUAGCGGUGGAAUGCGCAGAUAUCUGGAGGAACACCGGUGGCGAGGGCGGCCUCCUGGACCAUUCCUGACACUCAGACGCGAAAGCUAGGGUAGCAAACGG
rnacentral:rRNA from 1 species